ACGACCUUACUUGAACAGGAUCUGUUCUAUAGGUUGUACCUCUGUAUCCUUGAUUUCUAAGGAGACAGGAACCUCAGUCUGGUGGAUGAACCAUGACCGUGUGAUCAGAGCGUGAUUAACAGCCUUGUGACCCUCGGAUCAUUCAAGCAGUAGAUGAUCGUUCUCAGCCAUCUCUUCAGCUGGCUGGGGUGGUCACACGGUUGUCUGACAGACC
rnacentral:snoRNA from 1 species